GAGAUGGAACAUCGCGACCAACAACAAGACGGCCCAUCCAGAAUGCGAGAGAUGAGACAUCGCAACCAACACAAAGACCACGGAUUGAGAAUGGGAGAGAUGGGACAUCUCAACCAACAACAAGACGAAGAAAGCA